rnacentral:piRNA from 1 species
UUGGACGUUUUCAUUUUUAAUGACCGCCGA